GACGAACGCUGGCGGCGUGCUUAACACAUGCAAGUCGAACGGAAAGGCCCUGCUUUUGUGGGGUGCUCGAGUGGCGAACGGGUGAGUAACACGUGAGUAACCUGCCCUUGACUUUGGGAUAACUUCAGGAAACUGGGGCUAAUACCGGAUAGGAGCUCCUGCUGCACGGUGGGGGUUGGAAAGUUUCGGCGGUUGGGGAUGGACUCGCGGCUUAUCAGCUUGUUGGUGGGGUAGUGGCUUACCAAGGCUUUGACGGGUAGCCGGCCUGAGAGGGUGGCCGGCCACAUGAGGACUGAGGUACGGCGCAGACUCCUACGGGCGGCAGCGGUGGGGAAUAUUGCACAAUGGGCGGGAGCCUGAUGCAGCAACGCCGCGUGCGGGAUGACGGCCUUCGGGUUGUAAACCGCUUUCGCCUGUGACGAAGCGUGAGUGACGGUAAUGGGUAAAGAAGCACCGGCUAACUACGUG
rnacentral:rRNA from 1 species